GGUCUUGUAUUCAAUUAAUGAUUUCGAAUUGCAAAUUCGAAGGUGAAUUUAAUUUCUAAGGCUU
rnacentral:tRNA from 1 species